rnacentral:rRNA from 1 species
GACGAACGCUGGCGGCGUGCCUAAUACAUGCAAGUCGAGCGGACAGAUGGGAGCUUGCUCCCUGAUGUUAGCGGCGGACGGGUGAGUAACACGUGGGUAACCUGCCUGUAAGACUGGGAUAACUCCGGGAAACCGGGGCUAAUACCGGAUGGUUGUUUGAACCGCAUGGUUCAAACAUAAAAGGUGGCUUCGGCUACCACUUACAGAUGGACCCGCGGCGCAUUAGCUAGUUGGUGAGGUAAUGGCUAACCAAGGCAACGAUGCGUAGCCGACCUGAGAGGGUGAUCGGCCACAAUGGGACUGAGACACGGCCCAGACUCCUACGGGAGGCAGCAGUAGGGAAUCCUCCGCAAUGGACGAAAGUCUGACGGAGCAACGCCGCGUGAGUGAUGAAGGUUUUCGGAUCGUAAAGCUCUGUUGUUAGGGAAGAACAAGUACCGUUCGAAUAGGGCGGUACCUUGACGGUACCUAACCAGAAAGCCACGGCUAACUACGUGCCAGCCGCCGCCGUAA